rnacentral:piRNA from 1 species
UUUGUCGAUCCACGUGGGAUU